UUGGAGGGCAAGUCUGGUGCCAGCAGCCGCGGUAAUUCCAGCUCCAAUAGCGUAUAUUAAAGUUGUUGCAGUUAAAAAGCUCGUAGUUGAAUUUCGGAGUUUGUCGGUUGGUCGGGCUUCACUGUCCGCACUGGCCUGAUGGAUUCCUACCUUCUGAAUAACCAGCAUGCUAUUAAGUUAGUGCGUUGGGGAAGCAGAGCUAUUACCUUGAAAAAAUUAGAGUGCUUAAAGCAGGCUUAUGCUUGAAUAGAUUAGCAUGGAAUAAUAAAAUAGGACGGCAUGGUUCUAUUUUGUUGGUUUCUAGGAUCACCGUAAUGAUUAAUAGGGAUAGUUGGGGGCAUUAGUAUUCAAUUGUCAGAGGUGAAAUUCUUGGAUUUAUUGAAGACUAACUUCUGCGAAAGCAUUUGCCAAGGAUGUUUUCAUUAAUCAAGAACGAAAGUUAGGGGAUCGAAGACGAUCAGAUACCGUCGUAGUCUUAACCA
rnacentral:rRNA from 1 species